UACGUAGGGUGCGAGCGUUAAUCGGAAUUACUGGGCGUAAAGCGUGCGCAGGCGGUUUUGUAAGACAGAUGUGAAAUCCCCGGGCUUAACCUGGGAAUGGCAUUUUGAACUGGCAGUCUAGAGUGUGUCAGAGGGGGGUGGAAUUCCACGUGUAGCAGUGAAAUGCGUAGAUAUGUGGAGGAAUACCGAUGGCGAAGGCAGCCCCCUGGGUCGACACUGACGCUCAUGCACGAAAGCGUGGGGAGCAAACAGG
rnacentral:rRNA from 1 species